rnacentral:rRNA from 1 species
UUGACCUCAGAUCAGGGCAGCAUUACCC